UACGAAGGGUGCAAGCGUUACUCGGAAUUACUGGGCGUAAAGCGUGCGUAGGUGGUGAGUUAAGUCUGUCGUGAAAGCCCCGGGCUCAACCUGGGAAUGGCGAUGGAUACUGGCUCGCUAGAGUGCGGUAGAGGAGAGUGGAAUUCCCGGUGUAGAGGUGAAAUUCGUAGAUAUCGGGAGGAACACCGGCGGCGAAGGCGGCCCUCUGGAUCGUUGCUGACGCUGAGACGCGAAAGCGUGGGGAGCAAACAGG
rnacentral:rRNA from 1 species